GGAACAUCUGUUUUGAUCAGACUGAAAAUAGUUGGACCACAUGUUUUGUGUUUCAACUGAACAUUCCAGAGAGAAGAUUAUAAUUCUGAAGGUGUCUGUUCAUAAAGACUGGUAUUUCCCAUAUCUCCUUAAAUUCCUAACCAGGCUGGGCAUGGUGGCUCACGCCUUGUUAUUGUUUAAAUGAAACUUUCUACCUGAGUAAAAUUUAGGAGAAAAAUUUUCUUUCUCCCUUAGGCUGCUUCUCCUUUAACAGGGCUCUUUUUGCUGAGUUCCUGGUUGAAUUUCACUGGCUUUACUUGUUUUUUUUGUUUUUGUUUUUUUGUUUUUUGGGUUUUUUUUGGGAACAAAACAAUAAACACCUUCAUUACAUGGGUGAAGACAAAACGAGGAUUUAUUUGCCUUUCCGGACCUUGAUUUUCCUAAGAUAGAACUCCAACUCCUUCCCCUCUAGCACAUAGCCGUCUGUUUGGCCACACUGUCCCGGCCUUGAAGUGAUGCACGCAAGAAGCUUGCCCUGCUGGAACUGCUCCUCCAGGAGACUGCUGAUUUUGGCCUUUUUUUUUCCUUUCAUCGAUUUCUUCUGAAAUUUUUUAGAUCAUUUUUUGUUUAAAAUCUCUUCUUCCUCAGGAGUCAGCUUGUCUCCUUUCUUGUGGCCCAGGGGUAGCGCAUAGUGGGACUCGUACCACUGUCCAUACGGUGUGCUGUCGAUGAGUAUGGUGUGCUGUCAAUGAGCAUGAAGCAAUUCUU
rnacentral:lncRNA from 1 species